ACCACCUUUCUGGUCCUACUUCAAUGAGUAUAUUCAAGUGCCAAGAGUUAGAAGAUUUAUCCUUAUCUCAUAAUCAUUUGGAGGGAACUAUACCAUAAGAAAUAGGAAAUUUGACUAUGCUUAAGCGUCUGUAUCUUGGACACAACAACCUCAAAGGUGAAAUUCCACAACAGAUUGGUAAUCUAACACUUUUGAAAGUGCUUACUUUUUCCUAUAAUAAAUUGACAGGUAAAAUUCCACUUGAGAUAGGCAACCUACCAACAUUGGAAAUUUUGAAUUUGGGAUCUAACAGCAUCUCUGAACAUAUACC